rnacentral:rRNA from 1 species
AACGAACGCUGGCGGCAUGCCUAACACAUGCAAGUCGAGCGAGCCGUUCGGGGCGCGGCACGCGGGGGUGUAUCACGCGUGGACGUAUGUUUUGGGUUUGGAAAAAACUGGGCGAAUGGGGCUAAAAUAGGAGAAGCUGUCUCGGGAAAAGAUUUAUCGCCGAAAGAUCGGCCCGCGUUUGAUUAGCUAGUUGGUGAGGUAAAGGCUCACCAAGGCGACGAUCAGUAGCUGGUCUGAGAGGAUGAUCAGCCACACUGGGACUGAGACACGGCCCAGACUCCUACGGGAGGCAGCAGUGGGGAAUAUUGGACAAUGGGCGAAAGCCUGAUCCAGCAAUGCCGCGUGAGUGAUGAAGGCCUUAGGGUUGUAAAGCUCUUUUGCCCGGGAAGAUAAUGACAGUACCGGAAGAAUAAGCCCCGGCUAACUCCGUG